rnacentral:rRNA from 1 species
AUUGAACGCUGGCGGCAGGCCUAACACAUGCAAGUCGAACGAGUGGCGGACGGGUGAGUAAUGUCUGGGAAACUGCCUGAUGGAGGGGGAGAACUACUGGAAACGGUAGCUAAUACCGCAUACCAUCGGAUGUGCCCAGAUGGGCUUAGCGUGUUGGUGGGGUAACGGCUCACCAAGGCGACGAUCCCUAGCUGGUCUGAGAGGAUGAGCAGCCAAACGGGAACUGAGACACGGUCCAGACUCCUACGUGAGGCAGCAGUGGGGAAUAUUGCGAAAUGGGCGCAAGCCUGAUGCAGCCAUGCCGCGUGUAUGAAGAAGGCCUUCGUGUUGUAAAGUACUUGCAGCGGGGAGGCGUUACCCGCAGAAGAAGCACCGGCUAACUCCGGGCCAGCAGACGCGGUAAUUC